CCUAAUCGCUGUUUCCUCUUCAUUUUUCCCGACCCGCGCCCCCCGGUGCCGUUUCUCCUUUUCUUCCCCAAACCACCGCCGCUGCCGUCGCCGUGUCAAUUCCUCUCCUUCCCUCGUGUACAAAACGGUCGACCAAGGAAGCCGAGCCUUCUCUUCCUCUCUAUGCGUCGACACCCCGAGUUUCCCUUUCUCUCCUCCUCCGACGAGCCACCGCCGGUCCAUGCCCUAGCCAGCCCCGACGCCACUGCCGCUCUCCCUUCUUCCCUCUGCGCCACGUCUGACCACCGGAUCAAGCGAUUCCAGCCUCUGCCGAUCUCACGCCUAAGCAAUGCUGCCCCUCACCUCUUGUGAUUCCACUCAAUCGCCAGCGUGAAGAGGCAACUAGGGGGUCUAAGGAUCUUGGAUUUUCCCUUCCUUGUUGUGAUAGAAGUCUCGGUUGAAGGAGGAAGAUUUUGGAUUAGUUCUUGCUGUUUUCCCCUAAUCAGAGCAUGGACUCCUUCCUUGCGGAGGAAAUUUAGGGUUACUGGUUGGAGGUAUGUGCCAUACCUAGCUGUGAAUUUGGGCUUGAUUCUUUGUUGUGGGUGUGGACUGCCGCCAGGGAUUCAUUGACAAAGAAGAAGAAAAGGGUUGAAUUGGAGAACUAGAUUUAGAGAUGAGCAACUUUCCCUUGCCCGACUACAAUUUUCGGCAGUGGGCUGAUACAAGAGCAAAUGGAUACAGGACAUUGAUUUGGGACGAGCACUUCGACGCAGAGGUUGUCUAGCUCAAUCUCCAUUUUUGAGGCGGG